GGUCAGUAUAGGAGAUCGCUGGAGACUCAGAGGUGAGUGUAGGAGAUCGCUGGAGACUCAGAGGUAAGUAGAUCACUGGAGACAUGAUGGUCAGUAUAGGAGAUCGCUGGAGACUCAGAGGUGAGUGUAGGGGAUCACUAGAGACGUGAUGGUCAGUAUAGGAGAUCGCUGGAGACUCAGAGGUGAGUGUAGGAGAUCACUAGAGACGUGAUGGUCAGUAUAGGAGAUCGCUGGAGACUCAGAGGUGAGGGUAGGAGAUCGCUGGAGACUCAGAGGUGAGUAUAGGAGAUCACUGGAGACAUGAUGGUCAGAAUAGGAGAUCGCUGGAGACUCAGAGGUGAGUAUAGCAGUCCCAGACAUAAAAGACAAUUUGAAUAACAAAUUUUUGUAUAGAAAAAUCAAUAAAAUAGUUUAAACAAAAAUAUGCACUAAAUAAAUGGAUGUGAUCAUUCAUUAAAAGCAUGUGGUUGUUUUUCUUAUAAGAAAAGGUAUUAUUUUAUUAGUAAAAAAAAAGCACCGAAGUUGACAUGGACCAAUGAGAAGACUAAAGUUAAACAGUGAACUCCCUUCUUUUAUCCAUUUAUGUCAUUUAUGUUCAUGUAUAUGUAAACACCUACACUGGUGUGUGUAUAAGAUUUUUUUAACACUAAUAACAAAUAAUACAAAAUUUAUCAAAAAUUACAGUAAAGACUUUUAC
ensembl:lncRNA